rnacentral:rRNA from 1 species
UACGGGGGGGGGCAAGCGUUGUUCGGACUUACUGGGCGUAAAGGGCUCGUAGGCGGCCAACUAAGUCAGACGUGAAAUCCCUCGGCUUAACCGGGGAACUGCGUCUGAUACUGGAUGGCUUGAGGUUGGGAGAGGGAUGCGGAAUUCCCGGUGUAGUGGUGGAAUGCGUAGAUAUCGGGAGGAACACCAGUGGCGAAGGCGGUUGCCUGGAGCUUUGCUGACGCUGAUGCGCGAAAGCGUGGGGAGCGAUCCGG